rnacentral:lncRNA from 1 species
AAAAAAAAAACCUAAAAAUGCCAGGAAAUACUUCAUCUGUUGAGAGUGUGGCCAUAUAGAUGCAUCUUCUCAAAAAUUACAGUCUACCUAAGAAAUAAUACAAUCCAACAUAAAUUUGGAGUGUUAAAGAGAAAUCUAACUCCGGUGAUUGAUUUCAUCAACAUGUAAUAAGAGCCAUCCUUUAACAUCUUGUGUCCACCCCAAAAAACCAACAACCUUAGCUUCCUUGUAAUUUAAUUUGAAAAAUUCGAAGGUAAUAGAGUGAGAAAACAGUUUAUUUCUUUGAUAUUUGUCUUAGCAUCACUUAAUACAUACUUAAUGUACAUGGGUUUUUUAGUAUUUUUCUUGAACCUGUAAGGGCAAUGUAGGAAAAAGUUGUUCUCUUAUCAUCAAUAUGUGCAAGUUAAAGAUGUAAAGAGAAAUUAUUAUUUAGUGUAAUUGUUUUCUGUGUUCAGGGAGAUAAGAUUUACCCCAUUUCUGACAUUUAUGUGAGAUACUAUACUAUGCACGUGCUCCCCAUGUGCCUCUUUCCUCUAACCCAAAAACAUACAAAAGGAUACUGCCAAUUGCAAACGGUACUUCAUGAAUGUAUGAUGUUGUGACUUUCUGACCCCAUUUAAGUCUUGGUGGAACAAAAAUUAUAAGUCCAUCCACAAUCUAUUUUGAAAAUAUAAAAGAAAUUACAAUUUACAACAACAAAAAGUUCUGUCCGAAAUAAAUUUACAACAACAAAUAUUAUUACUGUUGUUCUUAGCAGCAUCUAUUUUGUCUGUCUUUCUUUUUUAAAUAUAACAUUAAAAUCAAAUCGCGAUUGACUAAUCCUACAUAAGUUUAUGUUCUGGUAGUCAACUUUUUCUCUUAAUUUCCAAAAUAAAUUUAAUGAACCGACAAACAAGCUCAAGCUAUCAUUAAGUAAGAAGUUCCUUUGCAUUCUUUUGUACUUGCAUAGCAUUUCAGCUUCACAGGCUGAUUUCCCCAUGAAAAUUACAAUUAGCUCCAAAUUCGCAUUAAAUUCUUCAUUUCCCCCUCAAUUCUCUAUAUUUCUUUUCAUUACAGUGUAAAGAGUGUGUCGAUACUGCAAAUACAUACUCUCUCCAUCCACUUUUAUAUGUUAAAUUACCUAAAUUAUAAAUAUGAUACUACUUUUUAAUUUAUCCUUUAUCUCACGCAAUUAUUCCAAUAUUAAUAAUUCGCUUUCUAUUAUUUUGUCACUAAAAUUAAAAAAAGAAAAGAGAGAAGUAAAAAGGGUUUCAACUUUUAAGAAAUUAUAGAAAAUAGUUAUUUCAUUUAGUAAAAAAUGUCCUAUUAAAAAAAUUAUUUACUAAUCUUUCCGUUUUUAAAUAUCAGCCACGUUGGAAUUUCAAAUCUCUUAAAAAACUCAUUAAAGUUACAAUAACUUAUUGCGUAAAUUGACUAUGUUAUCUUUAAUUUAAUAUAUUCAAAAAUCAAAGUUUUGAAGAAUUAAAACAAUAAUUGUUGGUCAUAUACAAAGGAUAAAUAUGAAAAAAAAAUUAUUAUUCCUUAAAAUCACAAAUACAACAAAUAUUUUAGAAUAUUUUAAAAUAUAGUAUUUUUUCAAAUAUAACAAAUAUUUAACAAAGGAUGAAGUAUUUUUUAAUAUUCUCAAAACGAUAAAUAAUAGCGGGUAAAAAAACUUUGAAAAAAUAAUAAGUACUCACAAAAAGAUAUUUUCAGUAAUGUGUGUGUAUAUAUAUAAAUUCAAAUAUAUAAAAUGAUUGAUAUAAGUAUUUUUAUGAAAUCAAUGUUUGGUCCUCUCAUGGUACAGAAAUCAGCUUUAAAAAUAUCUAAUGUACUAUUUAUAUAAACAAGCAAGAUGGAAUAGUUAACUAUAACCAUACACUACGUACCCAAAUUAUAUAAGAGUCAGUUCAUUUACGCAAUCAGUGCAGGACCAUAAAAGGACACCACUGUCAUAGACGGACAAACAUUCGUUCCAGACAAAACAGAAGGUAUGGCACCGCCACCGCCCAGCCGUUUUCCGUUUCGAACUCUUAGGAAGAAAGGAAACUUCCUCGAAAUUUCAAGGCUCGCUAUUUUUAGAUAUCUAUCUGUUCUUUUAUCAAUUGAAAUUACGUUAAAUAAAACGAAAAACUAUUAUUAGUUGCACUUUACAUUCUCUUCUAAUAGUUUUCAUCCAAGGGUAAACCAGCUUACAAAGCAUUUUGUAUGUGUGGGCUCUGAGAAGGAUUGAGAUACACAGUCUUCCUCCAAUUUUUAGUAAAAAGACUGUUUGUGUAACUUACCAAAUUGAUGAAAUUUCACAGAUUUGGAAACAAAGGAAAAAUUUUUCAUGCAAACCUGUUAAAGAUAAUGAUAACAUUAUGAACAAAGAUUAUUUUCUGCCCGCAAGGAAUAGCUCAGCUGUAAAAUAAACAGAUGACUUCUAUAAGUUCUGAUGUGGAUAACUAAGAAUCCUGAAAGAAAAUUAACCUUAUAAACCAGAAAGAGAGCAUAUAAUGUACAAUUUCCAAAAUCGAAGAGCCAAGAAACUUUCGAGAUAUACACAAUAAAGUAGAUAUGUAUUUGAUUUGUUUGUUCCGUAACGGACUAGACAUAUCAUAUAUCUGCUGGGAAAAGCUUGUCUUAUUGUGGAUUAUGGAAUUGAAGAACAAGUAGAUACUUAAUUUUUGUCUACAGAUUAAUGAGUGGAGAUAUAGUUAAGAGGAAACUUCCUGGAAAUUGUGUUAGGGGGUUCUAUUACGAUACACAUGCAAGUGGGGCAGAAUCCCAUCAUAAGGUUUGCAGUUACCAGGAGUCAGUUUCUGGAUGGGCGUAUUUUCCAAGUGGUCUGUUUUUUGGAGGCAAGUGAUGAUUCAUAUACAUAUAUGUGUAAUUGAUUAAGAGUUUCAAAUGGAUAUAUAUAAAGUAAUGUUCAAAACAUUAUUGGUUGUUCCUUUUUCUUCAAAAAAAUCUAAAAUAUUAUUGAUUUUUACCAACGAAGUUCAGGGAAUGAGUGGUUCGACACUCUUCCACUAUCCUAAAUCAAUACUUAGCUAUAUAUCUACAACUGUAAUAUUAAUUAUUAUCACAUGAUUUUCCAUAUGGUCUGUAAAAGUUUAGCUUAGGAAAAUGGCUACAAAACAAGGAAAUAAUGGGAGAGGAUUUAGAAAGCUUGGGAGAUCAGCAGUGUCACUAAUAUGUAUAACUUGAAAACGAGGCCACAACAAGCAGAUUAUAAAACUUUACUUCAAAAUAGAAAUUAUAGAAAACUUAAACUAUAAUUGGAGUAUAUGAAAAGUUCUGGAAAUGGUAAUACCUUGAAAAUGAGGCCACACCAAGCAGAUUGUAUAUGGAUAAAUAAUAGGGAGGUAGAAACUGUAAUCACAUCCAUAAACUUCAUUAACAAGAAAAUGUUAAUCAAAGCUUUUGGAAAGUUAGCAGGAAAUUAGAAAUACCAAAUUAAUUUAAACUUUACUUCAAACAAGAAAAUAGAACAACUAUCGCAAAAUUAAAUCGAACUACUUACAGAUAAUCCCUUUAACAGCAUUUUGUUGCAGAAAAAUCUUGCAUACCCUGCUCACAAAAAACUAACUAGAUAACAAUUAGGAAGAUUUAUAUUUGGCCAAAAUGGAUAUUGUGGUAAUUUUAUAGAUGUAUGCACAUUUUAGUUUUUG